rnacentral:rRNA from 1 species
UAGUGGCAGACGGGUGAGUAAUGCGUAGGAAUCUACCUAGUAGUACGGAAUAGCCAUUAGAAAUGGUGGGUAAUACUGUAUAAUCCCCGAGGGGGAAAGAUUUAUCGCUAUUAGAUGAGCCUACGUUAGAUUAGCUAGUUGGUGAGGUAAUGGCUUACCAAGGCUAUGAUCUAUAGCUGGUCUGAGAGGACGAUCAGCCACACUGGAACUGAGAUACGGUCCAGACUCCUACGGGAGGCAGCAGUGGGGAAUAUUGGACAAUGGGCGAAAGCCUGAUCCAGCUAUGCCGCGUGAGUGAAGAAGGCCUUCGGGUUGUAAAACUCUUUCAAUAGGGAAGAUAAUGCCGGGUACCUA